AACGAACGCUGGCGGCGUGCCUAACACAUGCAAGUAGGACGCAGUUGCGAACGGGUGAGUAACGCGUAGGUAACUACCUAUUAGAGGGGGAUAACUAUUGGAACCGAUAGCUAAUACCGCAUACUAGUAGAUGGACCUGCGUGGUAUUAGCUAGUAGGUAGGGUAAUGGCCUACCUAGGCAACGAUACAUAGCCGACCUGAGAGGGUGGUAGGCCACAAUGGGAAUGGGACAAGGGCCAGACUCCUACGGGAGGCAGCAGUAGGGAAUCUUUGGCAAUGGGGGGAACCCUGACCGAGCAACGCCGCGGGAGUGAAGAAGGUUUUCGGAUCGUAAAGCUCUGUUGUUAAGGAAGCGGUACUUAACCAGAAAGGGACGGCUAACUACGUGCCAGCAGCCGCGGUAAUUC
rnacentral:rRNA from 1 species